CUGGCUCAGGAUGAACGCUAGCUACAGGCUUAACACAUGCAAGUCGAGGGGCAGCAUUGGGAUAGCUUGCUAUUCAGAUGGCGACCGGCGCACGGGUGAGUAACGCGUAUCCAACCUUCCUGCCAGUAGGGAACAGCCCGGCGAAAGUCGGAUUAAUGCCCUAUGUUCUUCAAUGCGGACAUCUAAGUUGAAGGAAAGAUUCAUCGCUGGCAGAUGGGGAUGCGUCCGAUUAGCUUGCCGGCGGGGUAACGGCCCACCGGGGCGACGAUCGGUAGGGGUUCUGAGAGGAAGGUCCCCCACACUGGUACUGAGACACGGACCAGACUCCUACGGGAGGCAGCAGUGAGGAAUAUUGGUCAAUGGGCGUAAGCCUGAACCAGCCAAGUAGCGUGCAAGGAUGACGGCCCUACGGGUUGUAAACUGCUUUUAUGCGGGGAUAAAGUGCGGCACGUGUGCCGCUUUGUAGGUACCGCAUGAAUAAGGACCGGCUAAUUCCGUGCCAGCCGCUGC
rnacentral:rRNA from 1 species